ACAGAUCGUUCAGAGUUUGAUCCUGGCUCAGGAUGAACGCUGGCGGCGUGCAUAACACAUUCAAGUCGAACGGAGUUGUUGGAAUUAAUCCUUCGGGAAGCGUAAAGACAACUUAGUGGCGGACGGGUGAGUAACGCGUGAGCAACCUGCCUCUGUAUAUGGGAUAACGUUUGGAAACGGACGCUAAUACCGUAUGAAGCAUAGACACCGCAUGAUGACUAUGCCAAAGAUUUUAUUGUACAGAGAUGGGCUCGCGUCUGAUUAGGUAGUUGGUGGGGUAACGGCCCACCAAGCCGACGAUCAGUAGCCGGACUGAGAGGUUGAACGGCCACAUUGGAACUGAGAUACGGUCCAG
rnacentral:rRNA from 1 species